rnacentral:rRNA from 1 species
GAUGAACGCUGGCGGCGUGCCUAAUACAUGCAAGUCGAGCGAACAGACGAGGAGCUUGCUCCUCUGACGUUAGCGGCGGACGGGUGAGUAACACGUGGAUAACCUACCUAUAAGACUGGGAUAACUUCGGGACACCGGAGCUAAUCCCGGAUAAUAUAUUGAACCGCAUGGUUCAAUAGUGAAAGACGGUUUUGCUGUCACUUAUAGAUGGAUCCGCGCCGCAUUAGCUAGUUGGUAAGGUAACAGCUUACCAAGGCAACGAUGCGUAGCCGACCUGAGAGGGUGAUCGGCCACACUGGAACGGAGACACGGUCCAGACUCCUACGGGAGGCCGCAGUAGGGAAUCGUCCGCAAUGGGCGAAAGCCUGACGGAGCAACGCCGAGUGAGUGAUGAAGGUCUUCGGAUCGUAAAACUCUGUUAUUAGGGAAGAACAAAUGUGUAAGUAACUAUGCACGUCUUGACGGUACCUAAUCAGAAAGCCACGGCUAACUACGUG